ACGAACGCUGGCGGCGUGCUUAACACAUGCAAGUACGAACGAGGUGAUUGAAAGCUUGCUUUGAGAACCGAGUGGCAAACGGGUAGAGUAACGCGUAGACAACCUGCCGCAAAGAUGGGACAACAGUCCGAAAGGACUGCUAAUACCGAAUGUUGUCAAGUUUCCGCAUGGGAGCUUGAUUAAAGAUGGCCUCUACUUGUAAGCUAUCGCUUUGCGAUGGGUCUGCGUCUGAUUAGCUAGUUGGUGGGGUAACGGCCCACCAAGGCGACGAUCAGUAGCCGGUCUGAGAGGAUGAACGGCCACAUUGGAACUGAGACACGGUCCAGACUCCUACGGGAGGCAGCAGUGGGGAAUCUUCCGCAAUGGGCGAAAACCUGACGGAGCAACGCCGCGUGAGUGAAGAAAGGGGCUUCGGCUCGUAAAGCUCUGUUGACGGGGACGAAUGUGCGAAAUGCGAAUAGUUUUUCGCAAUGACGGUACCCGUCGAGGAAGCCACGGCUAACUACGUGCCAGCAGCUGC
rnacentral:rRNA from 1 species